GCCGAGCUUGGUAACGCAAGCUUGUGACUCAAGUGGGGGCAAUAUGGUGAUGGGACAUUUGGCUUGAACCAUCGAGUCUGGUUCAAGUGGCUGAUCCCUGGCUUGCCCGCGUUCCAAGCUAGGAGUUGAGCCAAGGGGACUCUAGCUGGGUCUCGUGGCCUGGCUCCUAGAGUUGGAGGGUUGGCUUCACAGCGAGUGUCUCUUGAUUCCAACAUGGCUCUGUGGGUUGAGCUUAAACCGAACCAUCACUGUU
rnacentral:SRP_RNA from 1 species